AAUGAACGCUGGCGGCGUGCUUAACACAUGCAAGUCGCACGAGAACUCUUUAGCUUGCUAAAGAUAGUAAAGUGGCGCACGGGUGAGUAACGCGUGGGUAAUCUUCCUUCAAAUUGGGGAUAACUCGCCGAAAGGCGGGCUAAUACCGAAUAAUAUCUUUGAAGCCUCGGUCUUGAAGAUCAAAGGUGGCCUCUAUUUAUAAGCUACUGUUUGAAGAUGAGCCCGCGUACCAUUAGCUUGUUGGUAGGGUAACGGCCUACCAAGGCGACGAUGGUUAGCUGGUCUGAGAGGAUGAUCAGCCACACUGGAACUGACACACGGUCCAGACUCCUACGGGAGGCAG
rnacentral:rRNA from 1 species